UACGAAGGGGGGCUAGCGUUGCUCGGAAUUACUGGGCGUAAAGCGCACGUAGGCGGCUUUCUAAGUCGGGGGUGAAAUCCUGGAGCUCAACUCCAGAACUGCCUUCGAUACUGGAGUGCUUGAGUCCGGGGAGAGGUGAGUGGAACUGCGAGUGUAGAGGUGAAAAUUCGUAGAUAUUCGCAAGAACACCAGUGGCGAAGGCGGCUCACUGGCCCGGUACUGACGCUGAGGUGCGAAAGCGUGGGGAGCAAACAGG
rnacentral:rRNA from 1 species